rnacentral:rRNA from 1 species
GAUGAACGCUGGCAGCGUGCCUAAUACAUGCAAGUCGAGCGAAUGGAUUAAGAGCUUGCUCUUAUGAAGUUAGCGGCGGACGGGUGAGUAACACGUGGGUAACCUGCCCAUAAGACUGGGAUAACUCCGGGAAACCGGGGCUAAUACCGGAUAACAUUUUGAACCGCAUGGUUCGAAAUUGAAAGGCGGCUUCGGCUGUCACUUAUGGAUGGACCCGCGUCGCAUUAGCUAGUUGGUGAGGUAACGGCUCACCAAGGCAACGAUGCGUAGCCGGACCGGGAGGGUGAUCGGCCACACUGGGACUGAGACACGGCCCAGACUCCUACGGGAGGCAGCAGUAGGGAAUCUUCCGCAAUGGACGAAAGUCUGACGGAGCAACGCCGCGUGAGUGAUGAAGGCUUUCGGGUCGUAAAACUCUGUUGUUAGGGAAGAACAAGUGCUAGUUGAAUAAGCUGGCACCUUGACGGUACCUAACCAGAAAGCCACGGCUAACUACGUGCCAGCCGCCGCAGUAA